UACGGAGGGUGCAAGCGUUAAUCGGAAUUACUGGGCGUAAAGCGUGCGCAGGCGGUUUGUUAAGUCUGUUGUGAAAUCCCCGAGCUCAACUUGGGAAUUGCAAUGGAUACUGGCAGGCUGGAGUAUGGUAGAGGAAGGUGGAAUUCCCGGUGUAGCGGUGAAAUGCGCAGAUAUCGGGAAGAACACCCGUGGCGAAGGCGGCUCUCUGGGACGGUACUGACGCUGAGACGCGAAAGCGUGGGGAGCGAACAGG
rnacentral:rRNA from 1 species